rnacentral:rRNA from 1 species
UACGAAGGGGGCUAGCGUUGCUCGGAAUCACUGGGCGUAAAGGGUGCGUAGGCGGGUUUUUAAGUCAGGGGUGAAAUCCUGGAGCUCAACUCCAGAACUGCCUUUGAUACUGAAGAUCUUGAGUCCGGGAGAGGUGAGUGGAACUGCGAGUGUAGAGGUGAAAUUCGUAGAUAUUCGCAAGAACACCAGUGGCGAAGGCGGCUCUCUGGGACGGUACUGACGCUGAGACGCGAAAGCGUGGGGAGCGAACAGG